ACCCAGGAAAGUCAGUGAUGUGAUUCAGUCUUGAGUCUGAGGCCUGAAAACCAGGAGAACCCAUUCUUUACGUGCCCGUCUGAGAGCAGGAGAAGAUGAGAGCAAGCAUCCCAGUUCAAGCAGUGAGGCAGAAAGAAUUAUAAUUUUCGAAAUCAGUAUGGCAAGGUAGCAUCAUACACGAAAGAUUGCUGCACCACCCAGCUGUUCUAAAGAAUUUCUCAGAAUAAAAGUGCGAAGACUAACAUCUUCUCCUUGAAGAGAGCAUGUGGUAUGUGCAGGUAUCUGGUAAUUGAUGUGGCGUCCACCUUUAUGUACAACCUGCAGUUGGCCGAUGAUGGCAGGAUCCUGAGGAAGCAGCUGCUGGCUUUGCCUCCCGCUUUCCCGGGGACCCACUGAUUGUAGGGGUGAUGAAAUGAUGGCCUCAGCGAGGACAGAGGCUUGUCAGGGAAGAGAAGGUGCUGGGGCUUCCAGCUGCACAUGCAAGGCUGUAGGAGAGACUCGUGAGGACUGACGCCCAUGGACUGGAGUGACACUCCUUCCAAGUGAAAUACUUGUACUGUACAAGGUGCCCCAUUAUCUAUGUGACCCUAACAAAGAAGAGAUUUCAAGCAAAUGGUGACACAAUACUUUCUUUUUCUUUUGUAUUUUAUUAUGAUAUGUUAGUCACCAUGCAGUACAUCAUCAGUUUUUGAUGUAAUGUUCCAGGAUUCAUUGUUUGUGUAUAA